GUGCUUGCUUUGGCAGCACUUAUACAAAAAUCGGAAUGAUACAGAGAAGAUUAGCGUGGCCCUUGCAUAAGAAUGACACGCAAAUAACAAAUAGAGUCUUCAAUAUUU